ensembl:lncRNA
CUUGCUAUUCACAGACAUUUUCAUGGCCCAGUCUCACUGCUCAGCAUGUUAAUAAUGUCUGCUAUUCAGCUUUCCUACUGUUCAGAAAAUCUCACUCCUGUGGCUUUUUGGCUGGCUUUGAGGAAUCACUAUAUGAGCUUCCCUGAUGCCACAACCCAGUAGCUUCCAAUUCGUUACCCGAGGCGCAGGCAACUGGGACCCGCGAAGACAAAGUAGACAAACUUGUGCUACCAUUGGGUGAUAUGACUCUGGGAUGUUUCCUGUCUACUUCCAAAAACAAAGAAAAGCAAAACUGUGAGUGCUGAUGGAUGUUUGUGUCUUUCACCAUCCAGGAAGUGAAGGGACAGCAAGGCUCCUGGUAAGGAAGUCAGCUUUGGAGUAGAGGAUGAGGAAGUCGUCACUACCCAGCCCUGCACAUUUGAACCCCCACUCACCACCAGCCCACUCUCAGGUGCUUCUGACACAAGACAGGCACCAACCUGACCUCCAAGCUUCUUUGGAAAGAAAUAUAGGCAAGUCUUCUUCUAUCGUUGAGAUUUAUUUUUAAGAAUCGGGGAAAUACAUAAAAAAGAAGCUUGAGGCAUGCAGAAGAGAGAAGCAUUUGGAUAUGUCACUUAAUCCGUCUGCUUCUCAGCUUGCUCAUCUGGGAAAGGGGCACAUGGAGCUAAGUGCCUCAUCAGCUCAGAAGUUCUCUUUGGUGGGGAAAGGGCUGUGAAAAGUGGGUCACAGGCCGGGAGCAAUCACCCCACCCCAUCUAAGCUGACUGGAGAUUCUCACUGGCCCAGAGUAAGACUGCCCUUACUGGGAUGGCCUAACAGAGGGUGUCAGCAUUUGUCUCUGGCUUCAGUCCUCAACCCACACACACACACACACACACACACACACACACACACACACACACACACACUCUCACACACUUUCUUCUCCCAGGCCUCUUCCAAGGGAUGGUUUGCAAAUGUGAACAAGGGGAUACACACAGUUUUGAGGAACUAUCUAGAAAAGUCAACACGCGAUUAGGCAGAAGUCUGUGAUAAGGCUCCUCCACGGCUUAAGGGAACACUAGGGAGGGACCAGAGCUCCCGCCUGCUUGCCAGCGGUUCCGGUGUUUACUGUGUCCGGGGCUGCGGCGGGACAACACGCGAUCAGCCCGCAGCUUGGCUCCAUCCCUUGGCUGUCUUGUGCCGCUCCCUACGGCUUUCUCUCCUUCCGUCUGUGUUACUGGCUCUCUCUCCUUUCCUUUCCGGGCACCGCUGUCCCUCUCCACCAUGCCCCUGUCUCC